rnacentral:rRNA from 1 species
CCUACGGGAGGCAGCAGUGGGGAAUCUUGCGCAAUGGGCGAAAGCCUGACGCAGCCAUGCCGCGUGAAUGAUGAAGGUCUUAGGAUUGUAAAAUUCUUUCACCGGGGACGAUAAUGACGGUACCCGGAGAAGAAGCCCCGGCUAACUUCGUGCCAGCAGCCGCGGUAAUACGAAGGGGGCUAGCGUUGCUCGGAAUUACUGGGCGUAAAGGGAGCGUAGGCGGAUAGUUUAGUCAGAGGUGAAAGCCCAGGGCUCAACCUUGGAAUUGCCUUUGAUACUGGCUAUCUUGAGUUUGGGAGAGGUGAGUGGAACUCCGAGUGUAGAGGUGAAAUUCGUAGAUAUUCGGAAGAACACCAGUGGCGAAGGCGACUCACUGGCCCAAUACUGACGCUGAGGCUCGAAAGCGUGGGGAGCAAACAGGAUUAGAUACCCUGGUAGUCCACGCCGUAAACGAUGAGUGCUAGUUGUCGGCAUGCAUGCAUGUCGGUGACGCAGCUAACGCAUUAAGCACUCCGCCUGGGGAGUACGGUCGCAAGNUUAAAACUCAAAGGAAUUGACGGCUGAGACGNGCGAGACGACACGAGGAGAG